AUCGGAGGGCGCCCGAGCUCGUGCGCGCUGCAGGUCCGGGGCUGGGCGGGACUGGCGCCCGUGUUUGACCCCCCUGGCCCCGCCCGGCUUCCCUUUCCGCUCGCCGCUGCCCCACGCGGAGCGCGACUGCUGUCACCCGCUGGGACUGCGACCCUGGCCUUGGGCAGGGGUGGGGGUGGGGGCGCCCGCGACUGCGAGACCUGCGGGGCUUGGCGGGGAAAGGGGCAGUGGGAGGCUUGUGCCUUCUGGUGCCUCCGGCGGGCCUCACAGCACAGUCACCCUCAGCGGUCAAUAAUCGUAAUAUGAAAAUGCAGCAGCACUUUAUAACCUUUUUUUUUUUUGAGACGGGGUCUCCCUCUGUCGCCCAGGCUGGAGUGCAAUGGCGCGGUCACGGCUCACUGACGCCUGCACAGAAAUCAUCCUGACCCCAGAAGAAUUAGCCCACCAGGACCAGCUAGUUUUUGUAUUUUUGUACAGACGGAGGUCUCGGGCUGGUCUUGAACCCAGCCUGCCCAGGCUGGUCUCGAACCCCUGAGCUCAAGCGAUCCUCUCGCCUUGACCUCCUAAAGUGCUGGGAUUUCAGUAGUGAGCCACCGCGCCUGUCCUAUUUUAAGCUUUUUAUAGUGGAAAAUUUCAAACUGAAGGAAAGAGAAUAGUCCAGGAGACCCUGGUGCCCGUCACCCAGGUCCAACACUAGCGACAGGACUUUCUUCUCGUUCACCCCUGCAUCCCGAGUGCUGAGAAUGGGCAGCGCAUAGGAGGAACGCAGUCCCUACCUGUCACAUAGAUGCAGGUUGUCUUACCAAAUAGAACGCUGCCUGGGCACCCUGAGAGGGGUGGCUCAGGCCGGGGCAGGCCUGCUGGGCCAGGACCAGCUAUGGAUCUGAAUGGCGCUCCAAGAAACGCCCUGGAGGCAGCACACACUGGUCUCCCAGCUGUCCAUCCACUUCCCAGCGGGGCUGGCUGUGCGUGGGGACAGCUGGGUGGAGGGUGGAGGGCCUCGCUCCUCCAAAUAAGAGAGGAAAAACUCGUGACUCAGGGGCAGGCAGAAGUUGAGUCAGCCAAGCCACAAAGCUGUGGAAAGAAUGAAGUUUCUCCGAGGCGUUUGCUACUUCUCAGGAAAGAAGCCCUUUCGGAGGAAAAGCUGGCUUCCAGACUGCGGGAACCCGGGUUUCAGAAAAGCAGUGGGGCUCGGGAUUUUCAAGUUAGGGAUUCUGGCAACCACCUCUGUGCUCAAAGCCAGGAAUUUUUUUUGGAUCGUUUAUUAAGUUCUGUCUACAUGCCAAGCACUGUGUGCUAAACAUUUUAUGUUAUCUUACCUCUUCCCACACUAAAGCUGUCAUUCCCAGCUUUCAGUUUAAGAAACUGAAAUAGGCACUGAAAUAGGCACUGAAAUAGGAUGAACACAAACAUUCCAGCAAGAGAGAGAGAAAACAAAGGAGGCAGAAUAUUAGCAAUUGGUAAAUUGGGGUCAGGAGUCUCCAAUCUUUUUCUGUAAAGGGCCAAAUGUUAAGUACUUUGGGCUUUGAGAGCCAGGAUCUCUACGGCAACUAUUGAACUUCACCGUUGCAAAGCAAAAGCAGCCACAAACAAUACUUAAACAAGAGGGUUAACGUCAUGGACCCUGAUAUUUGAAUUUCAUGUAAUUUUCAUGUGUUAUGAAAAAUUCUUUUAAAAUUUUUUUCCAACCAUUUAAAAAAGUUAAAAACCAUUCUUAGCUCAUACAAAACCAGGAUGUGGGCUGAAGUUUACCAAUCCCUGAUCUCUGGCUAUUCGUUGAACUUUUCUUAUAACUGUUCCAUUGAUUUGAAAGUUUUCAAAACAAAAAAUUGGGAUAACAAAUUAAAGAAAAACAAAGGAAACAGAGGUCCUACUGUUUAGAUUGGGCAGAUCCUGAAACUGACCCUAAAUUUGUCUGAUUCCCAAACUACUACAUGCUGUGUUCUUUUUAAAAAAUUAUUUUUAUUUCAUUUCAAUUUAUUUAUUUAUUAGAGAUGAGGUCUUACUUGUCACUCAGGCUGGAGUGCAGUGGCACAAUCAUGGCUCACUGCAGCUUCUACCUCCUGAGCUCAAGCGAUCCUCUUGCCUCAGCCUCCUGAGUAACUGGGACUAUGGGCCCAUGCGACUUCGCCCAGCUAACUUUUUAAAUUUUGGGUAGAGAUGUAGGGGAGAGAGGCGGGGGGGGGGUCUCUCUAUGUUGCUCAGGCUCAUCUUGAACACCUGACCUUGUGAUCCUCCCAGCUUUACCUCCUAAAGUGCUGGAACUAAAGGCACACACCAUCACACCUAGCUAAUUUUAAAAAUCUUUUUUAGAGACCAGGUCUCACUAUGUUGGCCAGGCUGGUCUCAAACACCUGGGUUCAAGUAAUCCUCCUGUCUCAGUCUCCCAAAGUGCUGGGACUACAGGUGUGAGCCACUGCACCCGGCCUAAAUGCUGCUUUCUUUACAGAUACCGUAACAUACUAAAGACACUGAGUCUCAAAGCCAUAAAAUGUGGGGCAUUUUGAAAAGAUUUUUACUGAAAUGGUUAAGAAGAUUAGUUUUAAAGGAGGAAACCCAGAGAUGUUUAGCAAACUGUGACUUCAAAAGAAAAUCUUGAGGGCGGGCUUGCUGAAGUGGCCUUGGAUUUGAAGCUGAGAUAAUCUCGACUCUACGGAACCAUGAGACGACACUGACGCCCCCGCACCCACUCGCCCUGCCCGUCUGCCUGUUUAUUCUUCUUUCUCUCUCUCUCUCUCUCUCUGUGUGUGUGUGUGUGUGUGUGUGUGUGUGUAUGCCCUGCAUUUAUCAUUCCAGCUGUCUGCACAUCCACUUCAUGUUUACGGGCAUUAUUGUGUUUGUUUCCCAGCAUGGAUUUUCCCCUUGAGGCUCCAACCAGGCCAAAGGAGGAAAGAAGAAAUAAAAGAAAACAGAAGCAGGCAGGGCAUGGUGGCUCACACCUGGAAUCCCAGCACUAUGGGAGGUUGAGGUGGGUGGAUCACUUCAGCCCAGGGGUUCGAGACCAGCUUGGGCAACAUGGUGAAACCCCGUCUCUACAAAAAUACCAAAAAUUGGCUGGGCAUGGUGGUGCGUGUUUGUAGUCCCAGCUACUCAGGAGGCUGAGGAGGGAGGAUGGCUUGAGCCUGGGAGUUUGAGGCUGCAGUGAGCCAAGGUCACACCACUGCAUUCCAGCCUGGGCAACAGAGCAAGACCUUGUCUCUAAAAAUAAAUAAAUAAAACAGAAGCAAUGCUUUUUGAAAAA